CUAAGACAUGCGAGUCGAGCGUCUCUAGCUAUGUUGAGACGCGGCAGACGGCUCAGUAACACGUGGCUAACCUACCCUCAGGACAGGGACAACCCGGGAAACUGGGGCUAAUACCAGAUAGGCGAAGACGCCUGGAAUGGUUCUUCACCCAAAGGACCUUGGAGACAUGCUUCCAAGUCGCCUGGGGAUGGGGCCGCGUCCGAUCAGGUUGUUGGUGGGGUAAUGGCUCACCAAGCCUAUAACCGGUACGGGCCGUGAGAGCGGUAGCCUGGAGAUGGGCACUGAGACAAGGGCCCAGGCCCUACGGGGCGCAGCAGUCGCGAAAACUCCGCAAUGCACGAAAGUGUGACGGGGCUACCCCGAGUGCCGUCCGCUGAGGAUGGCUUUUCCUCGGUGUAACUAGCCGGGGGGAUAAGGAGAGGGCAAGACUGGUGUCAGCCGCCGCGGU
rnacentral:rRNA from 1 species